CCUACGGGUGGCAGCAGUGAGGAAUAUUGGUCAAUGGGCGCGAGCCUGAACCAGCCAAGUCGCGUGAGGGAGGACGGCCCUACGGGUCGUAAACCUCUUUUGCCGGGGAGCAACGGGCGUGACGAGUGGCCCCACUGGGAGUACCCGGAGAAAAAGCAUCGGCUAACUCCGUGCCAGCAGCCGCGGUAAUCCGGAGGAUGCGAGCGUUAUCCGGAUUUAUUGGGUUUAAAGGGUGCGUAGGCGGAUCGUUAAGUCAGUGGUCAAAUUGAGGGGCUCAACCCCUUCCCGCCAUUGAAACUGGCGCUCUUGAGUGGAAGAGAAGUACGCGGAAUGCGUGGUGUAGCGGUGAAAUGCAUAGAUAUCACGCAGAACCCCGAUUGCGAAGGCAGCGUGCCGGCUUCCGACUGACGCUGAAGCACGAAAGCGUGGGGAUCGAACAGGAUUAGAUACCCUAGUAGUC
rnacentral:rRNA from 1 species